rnacentral:ncRNA from 1 species
AAUUCAACAUCGGGGAGACUGACAACAGGCUGAGAGGAGAGCAAAGGCUCUCGACCCGCAUUACCUGAUCCGGAUUAUGCCGGCGGAGGGAAAAUACGAAUUUAUUCG